GACACAAGAUCCACGGUGGCCGACCAUCGCCCUUUUCAAAAAGGAAACAAUACGGAUCGCACCGGAUCAUCGGUCGAUAGUCGAAAGAAAAGCCUCCUGGCACUGACAAAGAAUACGCCGGUGUAUGCACGAGGCUCUUUUUUUCCGGAUCGUCUUUUUCUACGCUUUUUUACUAGGGCACACAGUCGGCAAAGGAAGGGAAAGAGAAAAAAAAAGACAGAUGGGUCUAGGGCGACGGCGCGCAUUCGUGCAGCCACUCGAGAAUGGCAAAGUCUCGGGGGCCGCCGGUCGCGCGGUCGGUGGCGCCGUAAUAGGCAGCAUAAAAGCCAGAUUCGUUCUGUCCGUCGAGUAAAACGUCCAAAAGGGCAAUGUUGCCGCCACGGGCGGCCUCGCAUAUGGCCGCGGUACGGUCGGUUUGGAUGUCGCGCUCGCACGCAAGCCGAACCGUGUCAUCGUGGCCGCUAGAGACGGCGUCGGCGAGGGCUUCUCGACUGCAUGCGCGUACGCCCUUGUUGCAAAGCCACUGUAGCAUCCAACUUUCACCGGCGCUGAUGGCGGCGGUCAUCGCGUCCGACCCAAAGAGUUGCGGCCACGCGCGAUAGACAAUCUCGGCGGCGUCGGUGUUGCUUGAGCGACACACCGAAUCGACGACCUGCGCCCACUGAGCCUCGGACAGCGUCGAAUCGUCCAGAAGAAGAGUCAAGGUCUUGACAAACGGCCUGAUGAUCCCCCUGAACCGACCGGCCGCGCCGACCGCCAGUUGACCGCGAAACACGGGACCUCCUAUGCCGCUGGCGAGGCAGUGCGCCAGCACAUCGUCCGAGCCGUCGCCAAGGGCUGCGCAGAUGCUGUUCACGCUCGGCGAGAUGCCGCCGACGCCACAGGCCCAUACAAAGGCGGCCACCGAAUCACCGCGGAUCGCACCCGCGACUGCGCUCUGGCAAUCCAACCAUUGGUCGCGACGCGCAUAUUCGAGGAUGUGCACAUGCCCGCCCCGCGCGGCAUCAUAAGAUGCACACUUUGCGUCAAAAGCCACGUGGCGAACGAGCACGCGCACGACGUCGAGAUGCCCGCCGAAUGACGCUGUACCGCAACACGCGCGCACGUCUCUAGGCGGCAAGGUACCCAGCGCCAGCAACAGGCACACGGCCUCGGCGUUGCCUCGACCGCCAAAGUCGGCGAGGGUGCGGCACCCGCGCCACUUGGUCGCGCGCGAUUCGAUCUCGUCUGCAGUAUCGACUCGAAAAGAGCGGUGGGCGGCUCUGGCGGCGCAAAAGUCCCUAUCGUCCAGAUGCGCCAGGACCAGCGUCAUCAUUUCGGGCGGCAGGUCGACCACGCUCGACGGUUCCAUCUUUUCGGCUUUUCUUUUGAUGUGCCCUCGUAUGUUUAUCGCGGUGCUCUCUGUUUGCCCCGUGGUCCCGUUCCGCCCUUGUCCCGGCCAAAUCGCCCCUUUUUGCGCGCCCGAGAGCGCACACCGAUUUUUCUUUGGCUCAUUGCCUGUUGGCGUUGCUCCCGUGCCUUUGUCGCGCCGUCGCAGAAAUAAAAAACCCUAUACAGGUCGCUCCC
rnacentral:lncRNA from 1 species